rnacentral:rRNA from 1 species
AUGAGUCGACCUGAUGGGAUCAACAUCCCCGACGGCAAGUUCUACCUUGGAGAUGCUGGCUAUGCAUGUCGGCCGGGUAUUCUUCCACCCUUCAGGAAAACCAGGUACCAUCUCAACGAGUUCUCUGGUAGGAACUAUCCUAGGACUGCACAGGAGCUGUUUAAUCUCAGACACUCCAGCCUUAGAGUAACUGUUGAGAGGGCAUUUGGAGCUCUGAAGAAUAGGUUUAAGAUCCUGGAUCAGAAGCCAUUCCACCCAUACUCCACUCAGGUUAAGCUUGUUCUUGCUUGUUGCAUUCUGCAUAACUGGAUCCUCCAGUGGGGCUUUGAUGAACACGUGCCUGGGGAGGAAGAGGUCGAGCCUGACGAUAUUGUUAGCUCCGGCCAUGGUGUGGAGGCAUUUGACAAUGACGCUUGGAAGAACAAAAGGUUGGAGUGGGCAGAGGCAAUGUGGCUUAACAGAGGUCAGUGCAGAAGAAGA